GAUCAUGGCUCAGGAUGAACGCUGGCGGCAUGCCUAAUACAUGCAAGUCGAACGGACGGAAGAUGAGCUUGCUCAUUGGAAGUCAGUGGCGAACGGGUGAGUAACACGUAGGGAAUCUGCCCAUGUGCCCGUGACAACAGAUGGAAACGUCUGCUAAAACCGGAUAGGUGGCAAGGAGGCAUCUUCUUGCGAUUAAAGGGGCUACGGCCUUGAACAUGGAUGAU
rnacentral:rRNA from 1 species